rnacentral:lncRNA from 1 species
GCUCUCCGUCGACCACACGCCCCCGGGCCUCCUGCCGCCGCCCCCUCCCCCCUCCAUGCCGCCGUCGUCCGCGCCGCCCAUGCCCAGCCCGAUGUCGCCUCCUUCCAUGACGCCGCCGUCCGCCGCGCCGAUGCCGAGCCCGAUGUCACCACCGUCCAUGACACCGCCGUCAGCCGCGCCGAUGCCCAGCCCGAUGUCACCACCGUCCAUGACACCGCCGUCCGCCGCACCGAUGCCCAGCCCGAUGUCGCCGCCUUCCAUGACACCGCCGUCCACCGCGCCGAUGCCCAGCCCGAUGUCCCCUCCUUCCAUGGCACCGCCGUCCAGCGAACCGAUGCCGAGCCC